AUUGAACGCUGGCGGCAGGCCUAACACAUGCAAGUCGAGCGAGCGGCGGACGGGUGAGUAAUGUCUGGGAAACUGCCAGAUGGAGGGAGAUAACUACUGAAAACGGUAGCUAAUACAGCAUACCAUCAGAUGUGCCCAUAUGAGUUUAUCUAGUAGGUGGGGUAACGGCUCACCUAGGCGACGAUCCCUAGCUGGUCUGAGAGGAUGACCAGCCACACUGGGACUGAGACACGGCCCAGACUCCUACGGGCGGAAGCAGUGGGGAAUUUUGGCCAAGGGGUGAAAUCCGGCUCCAGCCAUCCCGCGUGUGACGUGAAGGCCUUGGGGUUGUCAAGCACAUUUGGCAGGAAAGCGGUACCUGCAGAAUAAGCACCGGCUAACUACGUGCCAGCAGCCGCGGUAAUUC
rnacentral:rRNA from 1 species